UACGUAGGGACGAGCGUUGUCCGGAAUUACUGGGCGUAAAGGGCGCGCAGGCGGUAUAUCAAGUCAGCUGUCAAAGACUGGGGCUCAACCCUGGUAUGCGGUUGAAACUGAUAUGCUGGAGUGCUGUAGAGGCAAGUGGAAUUCCCAGUGUAGCGGUGAAAUGCGUAGAUAUUGGGAAGAACACCGGUGGCGAAGGCGACUUGCUGGGCAGCAACUGACGCUGAGGCGCGAAAGCCAGGGGAGCAAACGGGGAUUAGAUA
rnacentral:rRNA from 1 species